UGGAGGGACGUUCCCAGACCUCCAGUAUUGUACCGGGAAAGAAGGAAAUAGGUUUCUCCCUCUCUCUCUCUCUCUCUCUCUCUCUCUCUCUCUCUAUAUAUAUAUAUAUAUAUAAACAGAAAAAUUCGCACGUUUGACUUUCUUUUGACAGGUUGCGCUUAUAUUUUCUGUAAGUUCUUUAGAUUCAAUUUUAUGAUUUUCAUUUUCAUAGAAAAUCUGUUGUUCUUUAUGUUUUAGUUAACUUUCAUUACUACAUAAACGAUGCUGUUUUGAUUUAUUAUUAACCCCUCUCGAAAUUUCUGUUUUGUUUAUCUGUUUAUAGUAGUAAGUAAUUUGUUGAUUAAAUUCAAUAAAAGUCAAUAUUCAGCCUGGUUAGAAAAAGUGAAUCUUGGUUAAUGGUAUAUAUAUCCCCUUUAAGGUUUUUUAAAAAAAAAGAAAAAAAGAAAAAGAAAAAGAAAUUAAGGUAAGCUUUUCUUUUCUAUAAUGGUGUGAAAUAACAUUUAUAUAAAUUAUAAGUGAAUUGAAAUGCCUAGUAUUCAACUGUUUGAGAAAAUUUCAGGAUUAAGUUAAUUACUUUUUAGAGUAAAUUCCAACAUGAAAUCUGAUGCUUGAAAAUGAUAUACCUGUGCUGGGUAGUCGACAUUGGAUUUGCACUAUACGUGUAUCUUCUAGGGCAGCGGCCUGUUGAUAAAUGUAAAGAUACUAGUUAACUAUUUAUGAGGUAGGCACACCCAUUUUCAGCAGAAUGCAUAUUUUAAGAUAAGUAGAACUGGGUGGAAGGGCAAAAUAGUUGACAGUUUUAAUUUAAAUGAUAAGGACCGGUCUUCUGAGAGGAACCUUUGAUCUCAUCACUUAGCGUUAGAAAUUUUGAUAUUCUGACUUUACACAAAAUAAAUUCUAGAGGUAUUCUGUCAUGCAAGUGUGGGCUAUGGGACUGUUGUUUCUAGUUGGUUUAUUUGCUGGUGCAAGGAAACAACAUGAAGCAUAUUACUGAAGGAGAUUAAACAUUAACAUGAUGAUUACUGAAUUUUAUUCUCUUCUAAGGCCUAAGAGAAAAGCUGUCUGUAGCUAUUGGUGCCAGUAAUGAUUGGUCAUAUGAACUGAAAGUUGGAUAUGGAAGACAAUUAGGAGUCAAAGUACCUUUAAUAAUACAAAUUAUCCCUACUCUGCAGGAUGCUUGGUGUUUGUGGACCUUUUUUUUAAAAAUAAAAAAUGUGUGAAGCCAUUUCACAGGUCAUAAUUUUCGUAUUUUGCAAGACUUGCAAAACCUUUAUAAUUUGAAAUCAAGUAUUACUGCCCUGCAAAGGGCCACUUCAAGUAUUGACAUCUCAUCAUUUGUUGCUAGUUCAAAUCGCAGUUAGAACUGUUCCGUCAUGUUGAAGAACUAAAGGUGAAUUUGAUGAAUCGGUCAUUGCAUUUUACUUUUCAAGGAUUUAAAUGUCAUUUACUCACAGAAUCAAAUACAAAACAAUAAAAGCAAAAUCCGGGAACUACACCCAGUGAUUUCAAAUACGAAAUCACUGGGUGUAGUUCCCGGAAAACCUGGCUUGCUUGGCUUUACAAAGCUAGAUUACUAACGCGGAGGAAUUUUUCGUUGGUUGAACGAGCUAGCCAGCAAACCCCCCUAACUCACCUCUUGCUCUAUAGAAAAAGUCCUUUAUCCUUUUAACUAGGAGAGAAAGCUCCGCUAGCUGCCCCUUUGCUCUAUAGAAAUGGAUGGAAAUGCCCAAUGCAUGCAAUACCUCUACAAUAUACAAGCAAAACCAUGCGAAAGGUGUAAAUUUGUUUUUUUAGAUAUUGAUCACAAUGGGCAGAUUUUGUGUAUGCUCUCUAUUUGGAAUUUGAUGAGGCAGCUUGUUGCUUGGGAAGUUGCGCUGUUGUGUUGACUUGUGCUUGCCAAAACAAGUAUACAAAUUUAACUUUUAUUCUAAUCCCUUUUUAAUUUACUGUUGAAAGCUAAUUUUAGCUUCUAUCUCGGUAUUUCAGAACCAUUUAUUAUGACCUUAGUUUUACUAGUGUUUGCUAGAUACAACUUUUCAGUCUGAUGUAUUACUGGCAAUUGCAGGUACAAUAAAAUAUGGCAGUAAAACCAACAGUCGCCUUUAGGGCUAUAUUAGUAGGAGGUGUAGCUGCAUUUGCAAAAAUUGCUGGUGUAAUGAAAGCUGCAGGUGGUGCAAAAAUUGGUGUAGCAGCUGCAGCCAUGACAGCUGCGGCAGGUGCAACUAUGUCGGGAUCAAAACAGGAUAAAAAGGAGGCUUCUAAGUAGCCUUUCAAGUGAAUUCUUCUCGGUUUGGCAAGUUAAUAAUACGAGCAUGUAGGAGACUAAUCUUUCCAUGAUUUUAUGGGGAAAUUUUAGUUGUACUUUCCUGCAAUGGGAUGGGAUGGGAUGGGAUGGAUGUUUAAUCAGUUGGAAAUACUUAAAUGUAGUUUAGUUGAAAUCAGUAGACAACCACAUGAUCUCGAGGUUAAGAGAUUGGGCUUUUGUAAGUGGGAAAGAGGAGUUAUGAUUCAUGAAACGUUUAAUGCAUUAGACUUGAGUUUACCAUAUAAUACUAAUGUUAUUGCUAACUAGACUGGUAUCAGAGCUCUUGAAACCAGUUUGUGUUUAAUGGUUAGGAACAUUUUGGAUAUUUUACUUGGUUGUAAAGGUUAAUCACCGUUGUUCAGUCUUAGGUGCAGGUUAUAGAAUUCAUGCCAAUUAAUUUGCCGGCAACACAUAACAACAAUUGUAGAAUACUCAGGAAAUCAUCUCAUUGUUGCCUUUAUCCACAUUAUCUCUAUGGAUUUGUUUUCUGAUGUUUAGGACGGACAAGGCUGUGCUUAUAGUUUAGAAGCUGUUGAUGGGUUUCUGAAGGCAUGUCAACAUUGCCUGAGCUGAUUGCUGCUAAUAAUUAUUGAAAUGGCCUAUGGCGAUGGCAUUUCCAGUUUGUAUGUGAUGACCAAAUAAAAAUAUUGCCACGAUAAUAACACUUGUUUUCAAAUUUAGCUGAUGACGGCAAACUGCGCUAUGUAGUGGUUUGUCAAUAAAUAGCCAUUCCUCUUCAUG
rnacentral:lncRNA from 1 species